rnacentral:lncRNA from 1 species
AUUUUCUGUAUUUUGUGAUGCUUUCACAUCCUAGGGCCUUAAUAGGUAGUAAACACAGUGAACAACUUGCCUAAGAACAUACCUGUCACACAAAACCAACCCCUAUUUAAAACCCAUAUCCCCAACCACCUCCUCUAUCCAAGUCUCACACACCAAGUCAAUAUUUUCCCUGCCCUAACUCACCCCAGGGCCAGGUACUGGAUACCCAGGAAACCACCCGUAUAGCCUGCUGACAGUCAAACUAGCAACCCUAAGCUUGUUCGAACUUGCCCACCCUCCCUCGACCCAUUCCUUCCAAGGCAAACCACAGCAAAGGCUCUGGGCCAUGACCUCCCUUGCUUCUUCUGCCUUCUGCCUGACCCCGGUGCUUCCUCUUGUGCCUUUGUGUGGUGUAAUUUGUCCCUUCCUCUUUGGAACUGUAAGUCGCAAAACUUCUUUCAGUGGCAUUGGCUUCACUGUGUUGCCACACAGUCCCUUCUGUAAAUUAACCCGAUACAAUCAACACACAGAAUGAUGGACAUCUAGAGGUUUUCAAUUUUCCACUGCUACAGAAAAAAACUGCAGUGAUCAUCUUGUAUCUGUGUGUAUUUCUCUAGGUGGUGGACCUGCCAGAGCUAAUUACCUAAUCACUCUAUGGGUGAUGCCCCCCAAUCCGAGUCCCUGCCUGCUCCCCUGGCCUUGCAGGUCUCAGCUGCUGAAUCACAGAAUGAAUGAGAUGCCCUGGAAUGGUUUGCUGGAAGAAUUUUUCAAAUGGCUUUUGCAAGAAAGUUCAAACCCUGGAAUGACUAAGUCUCUGGAAGAAUUUGGACUUUGUAAGGGGAAUUUGUUUGUAUUUGGUAUGAAUCACCCAGUCACUGAUUUCUGCAGCUAGAAGAUCUUUUGGAAGGCUUUUAGGUCAACCCCCUCAUUGUACACAUGGGGAAACUGAGGCUGGGGGAGGGAAAAGGGUUCAGCUAAGGCCACACUCAGUGUCAGAGGAAGUGAUGAGACCAGAACACAGGUCUGAUUCCUGGAGUCAGCUUCAGCUUUGCAAGAAGCUCUCGAACACCAGUCUAUACUUAAGUAGGCACAUUUUCAACAUAAGUAAAGGAACAGAAAGAUAAAGAAGGUUCUGAGGAAGCAGAAUUCACCCAGUAGAGGCAUAGAAGGAUGGGGAAAGGAAUGUAUAGAGGUAUCUUGCAGGCAUUACUGCAUCUAACCCUUCCCAGAUCCUAUGAGAGCAAUAGUUCUCAACCAGGGUUGACUGUGCCCCAAGGGGAUAUUUGGCAAGGUCGGGAGACUUUGUCAUUAGGAAGGGAGAUUGCUACUGGCAUCUGAUGGAUAGAGGCCAGGGAAACAGCUUAACAUCCUAUGAUAGACAAGACAAAGAAUUGUCUGGAUCAGUAGCAUCAGAGCUGAGAAACUCUGUUGUUCGGAGGGCAAUCUUCUAAACACACCCCAAUUUAACAGUAAGAUAGCCGAGGCUCAGAAGGCACAGUUGCUUACUUACUGUGGUCCUGGGCAAACUACUUAACCUCUCUGUGCCUCUGUUUCCUCAUUUAUGAAAUAGAGAUAACAGUACUUCUGCCAAUGGUUGUUAUAAUGAUUAAAUACAUUUUUAUUAAGUGCUUAGAACAGUGCCUGGCUGUUAAUACUUAAUAUACCAAGUAUUAUAUGAGUAUAUGCUAAAAAUAAUAAAAAGUAAACUUCCCAGAAUACACAGGCAAGUAGAGGAAUUGUUCACUUCAGUUCAGUCGAUCAGUCGUGUCCAAUUCUUUGCAACCCCAUGGACUGCAGCACACCAGGCCUCCCUG